UUUGUACUCCCUCUGUUCCGAAAUUCUUGUCUUAUAUUUAUCUAUAUACGGAUGUACCUAAUACUAAAACGUGAUUUGAUACAUCCGUAUUUGAACAAAUUUAAGACAAGAAUUUUGGGACGGACGGAGUAAUAG
rfam:Triticum aestivum genome assembly, contig: Triticum_aestivum_CS42_TGACv1_scaffold_488455_6AS